GCUUGGUUGGAAUAGCUCAGCUGGUAGAGCAUGAGACUCUUAAUCUCAGGGUCGUGAGUUCUGGCCCAAGUUGGGCA